GAUUGCAUUGUGGUUCCUCUUACGUAGCUAUUUCACUGCCCUCUUAAUAGCAAAGUGAAAAAGAAUACCUCAGUGGAAGACCUACAGACUCCUUUAAUUGACUGGUCCGUCUAGAUGUACUUCUAUUCCAGCUGGCCUUGAAGAACUACUCUUAUGCACCAGCACCUUCACUGCUCUCCGCCAAUAUUAGAUAUGUAUUUAGCUAGCCUAAUUCUACCUAAUAGCACACUCAGUGGCACGCUGUAUUUCCAAAUUGUUACAUAACAUAACAUCUUUGCACUUUGUUUUCUUUAAGCUCUUAAAGAGUGCUUGAAUUGCAAGCGUACACCUGCUGCUUUUGUUUCCACUGCAGGUUUACAGUUAAAUAAGUCGCUGUUUUUCAGGUGUUCUGUAAAGUCAUAGUACUGUUCAUAUUGCCUUGUGUGCUGUGCUCCUAAGCAAGCGCUGCUGUGAUGACCUUCCUUCCUUGUCCAAAUUUUCUUUUAAAAUGAAAUUGAGUUGAUACUUGAAGGUCUCAAUCUCACAAGGAAUGUUAUUCAAUGUUUACAAGGCGUUUGGAUAGAGUGGCUGUGUGAUUGAUGACUUGAUGUGAAUCUUAAUUCUUAAACAUCUAGAAUUAGACAUCUGCGACUCUUUGACAAGAUGCCUUGUCGCUCUAUGUGCUAUUGCUUGAGAUCUUGGAGAAAAAGCCAAGUAGCUUAACAUUGUUGAUAUUACAAAAGUAAGUGUCGAAUAUUUACUUUGGUAAUCUAUAUUAUGCAAGGAUAUAUACCUAUUCAUGUUUGGUAUAUAUAUUAUGUUAAAGUAGCUUGACAUCCUAAUCCUAAGCCAUACAAAAACAGAGGAUCGAAAGAACGGUUGCUGACUUAAUUCAUUCAUUAGUUCUUAGAACAGUUCCAACACGUUCUCUUUUAACAGUUGAGGGGAUUACAGAUGCAUAAUUUGGAAUCAGAACUUUAAUGUAUUGUUUUUUACACGUCUCAUUUCUCAUAGCCUUCUGUGUGAAUGGUAACUGAAUUUUCAUCUUGACAGGUUGAGAAUAUUCUAAUUAUGGGCCAUAGUUGCUGUAGGGGAAUCUGUGCUCUCAUGGGUAUGCAGGAUGAAGAAGAAGAUUAAGAGAUCCAGGAGCUGCAUUAGGACUUGAGUAAUUGUUGGCAAAAAUGCAAGAAUUAGCACCAAAUUUGUGGUUUCCAAUCUCAGUUUUGACCACCAAUGUCGACAUUGUGAAAAGGUGCACAUCAUUGGCAAACUCUAAACUUUG